rnacentral:rRNA from 1 species
GAUAAACGCUGGCGGCGCACAUAAGACAUGCAAGUCGAACGAACUUAAUUCAUUCUUUUAGAUUGAAGGCGGUUAGUGGCGGACUGGUGAGUACAACAUAAGCAACCUGCCUAUAAGAGGGGAACAACAGUUAGAAAUGACUGCUAAUACCGCAUAUGCCAUAAUAAUCACAUGAUUAUAGUGGGAAAGGAGCAAUCCGCUUAUAGAUGGGCUUAUGCCUGAUUAGCUAGUUGGUGGGGUAACGGCCUACCAAGGCGACGAUCAGUAGCCGAACUGAGAGGUUAAACGGCCACAUUGGGACUGAGAUACGGCCCAGACUCC